GAGGGUAUAGCUCAGUGGUAAAGGGCAUGCUUAGCAUGCACGAGGUCCUGGGUUCAAUCCCCAAUACCUCCA
rfam:Camelus ferus unplaced genomic scaffold scaffold72, whole genome shotgun sequence.